rnacentral:rRNA from 1 species
CGAAGAAGAACUAACCAGGAUCCCUUAGUACUGCGAGUGAAGGGGGACAGCCCAGCACCGAAGCCUGUGGCCGUUUGGCUGCUAGGCAAUGUGGUGUUUAGGUCGUCUCUUGGCAUAACUGCUCCAUCCUAAGUCCAGUACUGAGUAUGGCAUCUGGAGUGGCCCAUGGAGGGUGAAAGGCCCGUGGGGGUGGAGAUCAAGUCGGCCAGUUUUGCCCUGAGUAGACCUUGGAGUCGGGUUGUUUGUGAAUGCAGCCCAAAGUGGGUGGUAAACUCCAUCCAAGGCUAAAUACUAGCACGAGUCCGAUAGCGAACAAGUACCGUGAGGGAAAGUUGAAAAGUACUCUGAAGAGACUU